GGGAGACGCAUGCCCAGUUUGAAUGCUGGCUGAAAUCUAGGCCUUUAGGGUACAGCUCAAAGCACUGUCAGCCUCUGGCUAUAGUGGCAGAGCCUGCUGCUGUACAUGAUGGGAUGUGCCUCGGACUUACUAUUUAGCGAGGAUAGACCUGACCCAUUAUGGGGAAAAAACAGCUCAGAAAAACUUGAAUGCCUUGUCUUUGAGAAUUUAAACGUGCUAAUGAGGUUCUACAGGGAUCCACAUAGUGUGCAAACCCCAUGUAGCAAAGGUAUAAAACACCAAAUAAAGUCAUGGUGACCUGUUCACCACAGGAUGCGGGUUCCAA
ensembl:lincRNA